rnacentral:rRNA from 1 species
UACGUAGGGUCCGAGCGUUGUCCGGAAUUACUGGGCGUAAAGAGCUCGUAGGUGGUUUGUCGCGUUGUUCGCGAAAACUCACAGCUUAACUGUGGGCGUGCGGGCGAUACGGGCAGACUGGAGUACUGCAGGGGAGACUGGAAUUCCUGGUGUAGCGGUGGAAUGCGCAGAUAUCAGGAGGAACACCGGUGGCGAAGGCGGCUUUCUGGACAGAUAACCGACGCUGGAGGCACGAAAGCUAGGGGAGCAAACAGG